GGUGAUGAUGGCUAUGUGGCUCCACCUGUUCCCAUUCCGAACACAGUAGUUAAGCACAUAAACGCCGAAGGUACUUGCUUGGCGACGAGCUGGGAGAAUAGGAAAUUGCCG
rnacentral:rRNA from 1 species